CUGGUUUAGGAUAACAGGUAGACAUUCCUACAAUAUAACCUGCCUCAUUCCCUGCUUCCAUUCCUUCCCCAUAAAUUGGUACUGAGGUGCAUAUGACAAGCCCAUCCUGAAUUCACAAUAUAAGACACUAGCAGUUUGGCAUGAAAGGUUACUCUUACCCCACCCCCACCCUGCCAAACCUCAUUGAGUGUAACGAUACAAGAUGUGCAGUUAUGAACAGAAAGUAUCCUAGAAAUCUUGAGGAACAUCAGAAUAAAAUCUUGACAAUAAUUUUGGACCAAACAGGUCAUAAAUAUCUUGUGGAAUCAACUCUGAAGACAUAAAGACAGUGAGGUGCAAUAAAUUGUAGGCCAGGAACAAAAAUUAUAAUUGAUAGGAAAUGUAUGAUUACAUAGCAUUAAGAAGUGAACCAAUCUGUUCCACAGAAAUAAAACCAUGUCUCGAAGGAGAAGCAGACAAAGCACUUAGAAUCUGUUGGUCAAAAAGGGGAAUGCGUGAUAGGAAAUGUAUGGUUGCAUAGCAUUACUAAGUGAACCAAUCUAUGACAUGGACAUAAGGCGAUGUCUCGAAGGAGAAGCAGACAGAGAACUUAGAAUAUGUUGGUCAAAAGGGGGAAUGCUAGUAUAUUACAAUCUUCUCUAUUAGAAUUAUGUAUGAAUCAAAUUCAUCCUAUGGCAAUCAAUCAAAUAGCUCGACAAUCUAUGCACUUGGAAACAUAGAGCCAGAGGUGAUCAGAGUCAUUGGAAAAUCCACUUGGCAAUGCAAUCAGUCUGUGAAUCUGGAAGGGCUCUGUCUCCAAUUUAUACAAAACAAUCAGCAUAAGAUGUCAUCAUGCCAAUGUCUCAUGAUUCUAGAACUACAUAUCCUGAAAUUUCCACAAUUCACAUUCAGUGCAAUAAGCAAUGCAUUCAUGACCUAAAAAGAAUUGCCUAAAAUGCUAUAGACAUCAAGAUGAAAGCACUACGAACCAGUAAUUUAAGAUUGAAAUCACCUUUCCAUAAAGAGUUGAGCCAACCCCGCCAGUGUGCUGAUGUGCAACACCAUAGAUGACAUAACCACCAGUUGGGAUGAUUAGGCUUGUCCUUUUUAUGUCGAUGCAGUCAUCACUGGUUAAAGCAGUUGUGCUGCACGCCUCAACUUCAUACUCAAUCUGCUCCAUGUUCAUAUAUUUAACAUAAUUAAUCCGCCAUAAAACAGAGAUUGAUGACAUUCUUGUGGAAAAAUAAAUACUUCUCAACCAAUUCUUUUCUGAAAAUUAUGAAUAAAUGUAACAAUAGACAUAUCCACCACCACGCUUGAAGGGCAAGACCUUACAAAUGCUACAACCCUUAUUACAUAGUGCAUGUUUAUGGACCAUAAGAUAUGGCAUCGAAUUCAAAUAAUCUUCAGACCUUUACAAUAAGACUAAGAUGAUUCACUGAGAUUUUCGAAAGCCAUGGCUGGUUCCACAUAUGGUAUAACAGCUUAAGUUGGUGCUUUUGCAUUAGAGUUACGGAGGAGAACUGUUUUUGAGAAAAUUUCUUCUACUUUGCAUGAUGCAUCUAUCAUGGCUUUCACUACUGUGCAAUUAAUUUUGUGAUAUUAGGGGGGAAAAUGCAUAUUGUUUGAUACAUGGGAACCAUAAAAAUACGGCGGGUCCACCAUUGUCUGCAUAGGUUUUAAGGGGCAGUCAAAACAUUGCUAAGUUUAUUUUUCUAGUACUUUUUUCAACUAAGUGCAACAGAUUAUUAAGUGUAUAAUCUCAUAACUAGUACAAUCACGGUUUUCCAGGUCCUUAUAACAUAAUGCCUAAUUCAUUUUCAUACAAAAUCCUGACACUAUCAAAUGAAGGCAUUACCUGGCAACCACUCUCUGGACUUAAUAUUGUUGAAUCAUUAAGCCGUUUCCCAGUAUCAGUGACAUCAAGUAUAAAGAUCUUCACAGGGAUGACGCUACUAUCCCAAUCAACCCACUUCACUGUAUACCGCAAGUAGAGGCUCCUCCGCACAUCCUCAUAACCAGGUCUUACUUUGCAUUGUGUAUGGUCAUAGCAACAAAAUAAACCUCCUUUAUAAUCUGGUCUGAUAGGACGACCAAAUUCAUCUACUGUGAUGUUAUAUAUAUCACACUUGCAUUCAGUGCAACCCAACCUAUCUUCAACACCUCUUGUAUCGAUAGCAUGCACAUUAAGAAGCCAUCUCUCUUCAUAUCCUGCAGGAAUUUCAUCAGGAUUGCCAAUUUCUAUACCAUAAGGAUCCGAAACAUGUGUAGCUGUUCCUCGUGUUUCAGAUCCAAGGCCAAAAUGUUGUCUAAGAAUACCACCCUGACAUAUUCCACUGUUUUUUGCUAGCAUAACAUCUGAGUUGCCAUUGUUCUCACUAUUUGCCACAUCUAGACGAUGAUAGUAUUUUUCAACAAGCCAGUGGUGAAGAUAAGUUUCAUGAAGGGGUACAGAAUUUCCUGCCUCAUCAAUUACUUCAGCAUUAAAGCUCUUGACAGCAAUAUGACCUCUUGGGAAAUCAAUAUUGAAGUACCACCUAUUCUCCACUGAUCCUGGUGCCAAUACGAACUUAGGGGAUAGGAAAGUUGCAGAUUUCAUGUUACUUCCAUGUUCCAGUAAGGCUUGUGAAUAUGAUAUGUCAAAUUCUAGGAACAAUUUUGAUAGCAAAAGCAAGCUUCCCAAAGAAUAGUAUGACAUAACACCUGCCGAUUCCAAUAUCUUAGGUUGAAAACCGUGAAAUAUUACUUGCAUAGAAUAAAUUCCACAUUAUCAAUAAACAGAUAGCCAUCGCAAAGAUAAGCAAGCAAAAAAAUAUUGAUAUCCGAUACACAGGACAAUCACUUUCAAGAAUUCCUUUGUCUUUAGAAUGUAAUCUUUCCUGGAUUUUGUUUCCAACCAUAGGAGAGCUUUCAAUAAAUUGCUUAUUUCCUCUUUUAAAUCCUACCAAUAAAUUGCUUUUGAUAUUCUUUUCAAGUGUAAGGAAAAAGAAAAACAUUUUUGAUGUACCUGAAAUCAACAAUUUACAAGGAGAUGAAUGUUUAAGACUUGAGCAAUUCAAGAAAUUGUAUAAUAAAAAGGGUCAGAUAGAAUUGAUGGUGAAUUUUAAUUUUACAUCUAGAAGAACAGGAGCAGGGACAAAGACGAUAAGCCUAUCAAGAACAAACAAUUGCUUUACCGUUUCGACUUCAAUAAAGAAAACUGAAAUUGACAAUGGAAGAGACCAAGGUUCAUAAAUUAAAAGCAUACCCAGAAAUUAUUGAAAUUCCCGAAUUUCAGAGGACCCAAUUUCAAAUGAAAAAAGGAGAGCUUUUAUGUGUUGCUUUUUUCUUCCAACUGGAUAAGGGAGAAGGGGAAAGUUAUAUGCACAUAAGAGUACACGAGAUGUCGCUUAGUGAUUGCUUUGGCAAAUUACCUGUAGAAGGCUUGAACUUGGAGUCCAGGUCAGGCCAAUCUUGUUUCUUGGUUACUAACGAAACUGACCGAAGUGAGGCUUCUGAGCUCGUUAGGUGUAAGAUUUUUCCACUGUAAAAGGAAGGACUCGCAGAAUGCCACGUAGAGUAUUUUGAUCUGUUAGGACAUUAUUUCAUAGAAAAUUUUGCCUUUGUUAGAGUGACAGUUGAAUUUGCUCUUCAGUAUAUAUCAUAUCGUCCAAUUUUGACUGCUAAUCUCAUUACUUCGGUUCGAGAAGAAGUAAUACAACUGAUCCACAUGUGGAAUAUAAGGAAUAUGAACAUAAACUCAAUAGAAACAUGUAAAUUAAUCCAAGCACCUACAAAACUCAUUUGGAUAUCACUCUAGAGUUUAUUUUACACCAAGAAAGAAACAAGAAGUCUAAAUGCAUUUUUGUGCAAACAAAUAUGGUAUAUGACAGUAAUCAGAGCCAAGUAAAACCAAGAACUAAGACAGACAUUCAUUGCGCAGAGACUUCAUGGAAACUGAAUUUUCAUGGCAGAAUUGAUUCGUAUCCAUUCUCUAUCCUCUUUCUUAGCUGAGAUCGUUUGGUUAUAGCUACGGUUAAGGCUAGUCCCAACAACGCUACAGCUGCUACUCCCCAGGAAUAAUGAAUCGGUGAUUUCUUGUAUUCCUGCAUCUGCAAACAGCCAAUCACAUAUGAACUCAGACUAAAUCUGAAAGACUUUUAAGCCAUUGGUAAUGCAAAACUUUCUUGUUUCUUUCCCUUUUUGCAAAUAAACUAAUCCCGAUGAACAAUAAAAAUUUCAUUACUGAAGUUCUAAAUACACUAUAACACAACUAUUUGUUUGGCAAAAAAGCAUAUUGCAGUGACUAAUUAUCUUCCUUAGCUUUGACUAGAUCUUGGGGGUUUUCCCUUCUUUUUCCAACUCACAUGAGCAUGAUUAGUUUGCAAGGGCGUCACGGGAUUUGGUGUUUGAUCUGCAACCAGUAUGUAGAAGAGCCCCAUAACUCCAGUGUGCGUUUGUGUACUGCUAUAAUUUGAUUCCAAAGUUAAAUUCUCCCCAUCUGCAAUCUUGACAGAACCUGGUUUAGGAUAACAGGUGGACAUUCCUACUAUAUAACCAGCUUCAUUUCCUGCUUCUUUUCCUUCUCCAUAAAUGGGAAGUGAAGUGCAUAUAACACGUCCAUCCUGAAUUCAACAACAAAUAAAUAAUCGAUUUCAGAUACUAAAUUGUUGAAAUUCUUGCAAGAGAUGCAUAUUAAAUGUCUGACAAUCCAAAAGAUUUGCAUGCGGUGCGGAUUCAGUUAAAGGCUUGUGAGAGGUUCUCAUACACAUUGUGAAGGCUUCUAAGUUCGGAAAGAACAUCAAUGAAAGAGUAUAGUAAAAGUAUUUAGUCCAGCAUUAUCCCAUGAAAUCUAGCAGAAAGUGGAAAAUAAGCACCAAGCUCCAAAGAUGAGCACAAUAUUACAGACUAGAAACUUCUAGGGCUGAAGUAUAAAC
rnacentral:lncRNA from 1 species